rfam:Triticum aestivum genome assembly, contig: Triticum_aestivum_CS42_TGACv1_scaffold_569594_7AS
UAAGUACUCCCUCCGUUCGGAAUUACUUGUCAUAAAAAUGGAUGUAUUUAGAAAUUUUUUAGUUUUAGAUACAUCUAUUUCUGUGGCAAGUAAUUCGGAACAGAGGGAGUAUGAC